CUGCCCUCAAGCCCGGCUUGUGUGUUGGGCCCUGUUCCCCCGGGAACAGGCCCGAAAGGCAGUGGCGGCACCGCGUCCGAUCCUCGAGCGUAUGGGGCUUUGUCACCCGCUCUGUAGGCCCGGCCGGCGCCCGUCGACCCCCCUAACCUUUUUUUUUCAGG
rnacentral:misc_RNA from 1 species